rnacentral:rRNA from 1 species
GUGGGGAAUAUUGGACAAUGGGCGCAAGCCUGAUCCAGCCAUGCCGCGUGUGUGAAGAAGGCCUUUUGGUUGUAAAGCACUUUAAGCGAGGAGGAGGCUACUUGGAUUAAUACUCUAGGAUAGUGGACGUUACUCGCAGAAUAAGCACCGGCUAACUCUGUGCCAGCAGCCGCGGUAAUACAGAGGGUGCGAGCGUUAAUCGGAUUUACUGGGCGUAAAGCGUGCGUAGGCGGCUUUUUAAGUCGGAUGUGAAAUCCCUGAGCUUAACUUAGGAAUUGCAUUCGAUACUGGGAAGCUAGAGUAUGGGAGAGGAUGGUAGAAUUCCAGGUGUAGCGGUGAAAUGCGUAGAGAUCGGGAGGAAUACCGAUGGCGAAGGCAGCCAUCUGGCCUAAUACUGACACUGAGGUGCGAAAGCAUGGGGAGCAAACAGGAUUAGAUACCCGGGUAGUCC